AGACCCGAAACCCGGUGAUCUAGCCAUGGGCAGGUUGAAGGUUGGGUAACACUAACUGGAGGACCGAACCGACUAAUGUUGAAAAAUUAGCGGAUGACCUGUGGCUGGGGGUGAAAGGCCAAUCAAACCGGGAGAUAGCUGGUUCUCCCCGAAAGCUAUUUAGGUAGCGCCUCGUGAAUUCAUCUCCGGGGGUAGAGCACUGUUUCGGCUAGGGGGCCAUCCCGGCUUACCAACCCGAUGCAAACUGCGAAUACCGGAGAAUGUUAUCACGGGAGACACACGGCGGGUGCUAACGUCCGUCGUGAAGAGGGAAACAACCCAGACCGCCAGCUAAGGUCCCAAAGUCAUGGUUAAGUGGGAAACGAUGUGGGAAGGCCCAGACAGCCAGGAUGUUGGCUUAGAAGCAGCCAUCAUUUAAAGAAAGCGUAAUAGCUCACUGGUCGAGUCGGCCUGCGCGGAAGAUGUAACGGGGCUAAACCAUGCACCGAAGCUGCGGCAGCGACACUCAGGUGUUGUUGGGUAGGGGAGCGUUCUGUAAGCCUGCGAAGGUGGCCUGUGAGGGUUGCUGGAGGUAUCAGAA
rnacentral:rRNA from 1 species